GAAGCAGCUGAAGCGGCGGUAGCGGCGGCGGCUCGGGCAGAGGGGCGGGAGCUGAGGCGGGAGCGAACAGGCUGGUGGGCGAGCGAGAGGCGGCGGAAUGGUGGACUACCACGCGGCGAACCAGUCGUACCAGUACGGCCCCAGCAGCGCGGGCAAUGGCGCUGGCGGCGGGGGCAGCAUGGGCGACUACAUGGCCCAGGAGGACGACUGGGACCGGGACCUGCUGCUGGACCCGGCCUGGGAGAAGCAGCAGCGCAAGACCUUCACGGCGUGGUGCAACUCCCACCUGCGGAAGGCAGGCACACAGAUCGAGAACAUUGAUGAGGACUUCCGAGACGGGCUCAAGCUCAUGCUGCUCCUGGAGGUCAUAUCAGGGGAGCGGUUACCUAAGCCGGAGCGGGGGAAGAUGAGAGUGCACAAAAUCAACAAUGUGAACAAAGCGCUGGACUUUAUUGCCAGCAAAGGUGUCAAGCUGGUCUCCAUCGGGGCAGAAGAGAUUGUGGACGGCAACGCAAAGAUGACCCUGGGAAUGAUCUGGACCAUCAUCCUUAGGUUCGCCAUCCAGGACAUCUCCGUGGAAGAGACCUCGGCCAAGGAAGGGCUCCUUCUCUGGUGCCAGAGAAAAACAGCCCCGUAUAAGAACGUCAAUGUGCAGAACUUCCACAUCAGCUGGAAGGAUGGUCUUGCCUUCAAUGCCCUGAUCCACCGGCACAGACCAGAGCUGAUUGAGUAUGACAAGCUGAGGAAGGACGACCCUGUCACCAACCUGAACAAUGCCUUCGAAGUGGCUGAGAAAUACCUCGACAUCCCCAAGAUGCUGGAUGCAGAGGACAUCGUGAACACGGCCCGGCCCGACGAGAAGGCCAUAAUGACCUAUGUGUCCAGCUUCUACCAUGCCUUUUCAGGAGCGCAGAAGGCUGAAACUGCCGCCAACCGGAUCUGUAAGGUGCUGGCUGUCAACCAAGAGAACGAGCACCUGAUGGAGGACUACGAGAAGCUGGCCAGCGACCUCCUGGAGUGGAUCCGGCGCACCAUCCCCUGGCUGGAGGACCGUGUGCCCCAAAAGACUAUCCAGGAGAUGCAGCAGAAGCUGGAGGACUUCCGCGACUACCGGCGUGUGCACAAGCCGCCCAAGGUGCAGGAGAAGUGCCAGCUGGAGAUCAACUUCAACACGCUGCAGACCAAGCUGCGCCUCAGCAACCGGCCCGCCUUCAUGCCCUCCGAGGGCAAGAUGGUCUCGGACAUCAACAAUGGCUGGCAGCACUUGGAGCAGGCUGAGAAGGGCUACGAGGAGUGGCUGCUGAAUGAGAUCCGCAGGCUGGAGCGGCUCGACCACCUGGCAGAGAAGUUCCGGCAGAAGGCCUCCAUCCACGAGGCCUGGACUGACGGGAAGGAAGCCAUGCUGAAGCACCGGGACUACGAGACGGCCACACUAUCGGACAUCAAAGCCCUCAUUCGCAAGCACGAGGCCUUCGAGAGCGACCUGGCUGCGCACCAGGACCGCGUGGAGCAGAUCGCCGCCAUUGCCCAGGAGCUCAAGUACGUGCGGGCUCAGUACACUAUCAUCACCUGGCUCUCACCACAGCCUGCCCAGACUGGUGGCGGCAGCACGCCGAGGCCCAGCCUGCCUCAAGGCCUGGAAUAGGGUCCCCAGUGCCCCAACUGCACCUCCUUCCAGAAGCCAGGGAAGGGCCUUAUGGGAUGAGGCCUUUUGCCCAUCCUAUCUCAG
rnacentral:sRNA from 1 species